UCCUACUGUUUGCUUGUUUCCAGGAGUAAAGAUGGGAUUUUUGGAUUUCAUUUGACUCUAGGGAGAUCUGGAACUGCUCCAGGAAGAUUUGCGUUGGAUGCUAUGAAAGAGGAUAAGGAAGUAAUUGUUGGAUAUGUAAAUACAUUUGUGCAAGGUCUCUGCUGCUGCCACUAACCACUGCUCAGCUCACGGCCUUCUUCCUCUUCCCAGUGCCCACGACCUCCUGAGACUCUCCACUUCUCACAAGCCACCAGCCCAUGUAAAGAUGGCUUUCAGCUGUUUCCUCAAGACUCCUGGUAACCUCUUGAAAAAGCCGUAUUUAUUGUAUGUGUGUUUUAACAUUAUAAAUGUAAUCUGCAUUUGAUGCACAAAACCCAGAAGAGUAAAAAAGAAGCGAAAACUCGUUGACAGUCCCACUACCAAGGGUUAGUAUGUGUUCUGCCAGUCUAUUUUCCGCGACUGUUUUUCAGCAUUGUUUUUAAAGACAUUAAUGACCUAAUUAUACACUUCUGAUUUAGGCAUCGUUCUAAGUACUUUGCCUGGAUGCUCUCAGGCCGCAUAUAGUACAGCCCUGUUACGUCAACACUUUUAUUACCACCAUUUUUACAAA
rnacentral:lncRNA from 1 species